AACUUUUAACAAUGGAUCACUCGGCUCUCGCGUCGUUGAAGAACGUAGCGAACUGCGAAAAUUAAUGCGACCCGCACCACGUGAGUCAUCGAGUUUUUGAACGCAUAUUGCACCCGACUGGCUCGCCUGUCGGGUCUGCCUGUCUGAGUAUCAGUACGGACCCAAUCGCCCGCCGCUGCUUGCAGCGGAUCGGCGGCUUGCGGUCGCGCGGUCUUCGGAUCGCCCGGACGUGAGCUGUCCGGCGUCGGCACCCGCCAGCGCCGGUCGCUUGAAAUGCAUCGGACUAGCGACACAAUCGUGCCUGUUAGCGUUGUUAAUCAUCUUCGGGUGUCUUCGCAUCACAACAUCACAACCGCGUCUGCCAUCCUUGCGCAAACCAUCAUUACGAUACCUUACCCCUUGAUCUCAGAUCAGGCAGGAUGACCCGCUGAACUUAAGCAUAUCAAUAAGCGGAGGCU
rnacentral:misc_RNA from 1 species